UCCUGCCCCUUGGGAAGGUCGGGGACGGGGGCCUUCACCGGCGU
rnacentral:ribozyme from 1 species